rnacentral:rRNA from 1 species
CCGCUGAACUUAAGCAUAUCAAUAAGC